CAACGCUCGCAUCGACAUCACCGGCAACGGCGCCGAGCUGAAUUCCCGCCUGCGCUACUCCUGCAACCCGGGAUACAAACGGAAAGCCGGCACCUCCAGCCUCAUCCAGUGCAUCCUCUGGAACGGCUCCGAGCCCCGCUGGACCGACCCCACGCUCCAGUGCAUCCGAGAUCCGGCUCUUUCCCAGCAAAGUCCCAGCCCGGAGAGCACAACCCGGAGCGGAAGCACCGGUGCCAGCCCAAAUUCCAGCCCGUCCCCAACUCCUGGACUGUCACCAGUGCCACCAGCACAUGAUGGGCUGUCCCCAGACCAAUCCAGGCCACCGGAGCCACUCCCAACAUCCGAAACAUCCCUGGCAGGAGAGGGGACAACAAUCGCCCCCACGGAUUACGCUGCAGUUUUCAUCCCGUCUGUGGCCUCUUCUGUCGGAUUCCUGGUGUUCCUGGCCGCUGGAAUCGUGGCCUUCUGCUGCUGGAGGAAGAGGCGUACCAGGGAGGGCUACGCGAUGACSGACACCGACAUUCCCAUGGCGGCUCGUCCCUCUG